rnacentral:rRNA from 1 species
UACCGAGGUCUCAAGCGUUGUUCGGAUUCAUUGGGCGUAAAGGGUGCGUAGGUGGCGCCGUAAGUCGGGUGUGAAAUUUCGGAGCUUAACUCCGAAACUGCAUUCGAUACUGCGGUGCUUGAGGACUGGAGAGGAGACUGGAAUUCAUGGUGUAGCAGUGAAAUGCGUAGAGAUCAUGAGGAAGACCAGUGGCGAAGGCGGGUCUCUGGACAGUUCCUGACACUGAGACACGAAGGCCAGGGGAGCAAACGGG